rnacentral:tRNA from 2 species
GCUGGGGUGCCGGAGUGGUCUAACGGAGGUGAUUGCAAACCAUCUAUUCGCAGGUUCGAAUCCUGUUCCCAGCUCCA